ACUCUUUUAGUAUAACUAGUACAAUUGACUUCCAAUCAAUCAGUUUUGAUGUUAUUCAAAAAGGAGUA
rnacentral:tRNA from 1 species